rnacentral:sRNA from 1 species
GCUGUGUGCAGUGGUGGGCUCUUGUAGUCCCAAGUACUUGGGAGGCUGAGACUUGAGGAUUGCUUGAACCCAGGAAUUCAAGGCCAGCCUGGGCAACAUAGCAAGACCUUGUCUCAA